CUUCUUUCCAUAGAAAUGACAGGAUCAGUACUCAUUAACUUUGUAAUCUUCUUCCCCACCCCUCCCUGUUAUCAGUGGAGGUGGCAGCAAGAGGCCUCAUGUAAGCUGUUGUUUGUGCCAUUCUCCUAUUCCUGCUUGAAACAGCCACAGUUGUGCGAGGCUCAGACCAGUGACUAUAUCAUGGCUACGGGGCCAACAGACGUCAUACAGUCACCUGAAACAGGAGAGACUGUUGAAGAGUGCACAGGAAAGAAAAAAUCCAAAUUUCAGACUUUCAAGAACUUCUUUGCCAAGAAGAAAAGGAAAGAGCCUCCACCUCCCAGGGGGGAGAGUAAUUUAAAACCUAGCCAGUCCAGCAGCGAUGUCAGCAUCUCUGUGCUCGACGAGGCUAAUGCACUUCAUUCACCGAAGGAGGCUGGGCCCAAAGGAAGCAUGGGAAACAAAGCCUUGUCGCAUGACAGCGUCUUCAUUUUUGAAUCUGUACCAGGAGGUGUGGCAGGGGACGUGUCAUCUCAGGAAAACAUACCUGGAAGAGUGAAAACUUUGCAGCUUCAGUUGCAGCAAAACAUCAGGUUUGGAUCACCUCCUCUAGUUAUAACUGGAAAGAGACUGGAAGAUGCAGGUGCUGUUUCUGAAGAUGAUGGAUUACCUAGAAGCCCUCCUGAAAUUUCAACCCUUCAUGAAGUUCUGACAGAUUCAACAAGCAAGUCCUCCAACCCUGUUCAGCGUCAUAGCUCUUUGAGUUUAGGCGGGACAGACAGUGAAGAUGAACAGAUACCUUCUGGAGCUUCCUCCAGGCCUAUCAGUCCUUCAUCCUCUGCUGCUCUCGGGGCCCCUGGCUCACGAGGCAGCAGCUUCCUUCCAGUUGACUUCACCAUCCCUGCCAGUCCCCUGGGCUGCCUGGACACCUCAGCAGCCAGGCACAGGAUUGCCAUAAAUCCUCGGAAACAGAAAGGCUUCACCAAUAAGAAUCAGCAAACCCAGGUGGAACACCUGGAAAAUGAAGCAUGUCUUCAUGCAACUCCAGAAAAGAAGGGAAAUUCAACAGAACUACCUGAGAGUGACCAGCAUAAAACUGAUUGGGAAGGCUUAUCACCCCAGGUGGAAUAUGGUGCAAAGGAAAGCGGUUCUAAGGAGACACCAGGUGUAAAAUGUCCCACUGAUGCUGCCCCUGACUCCUGUGAAUCCACGCUUGUGGCAGAAGACUUCUGUACUUUGCUGCAAGAAAGUGAAUGCCUGCCAGACAUGGACCACGGCUAUAAAUCAGCUGCACCCCUUCUGAGACCUGAGCCUUCUCCAGAGAACCUGGAGGAACAGCACAGUGCAGAAGUGCCAUGCUGUUCAGAUGAGUCUGCUGGUGAAUUGACAUUACAUCAGCAAAAUACCAAUAUUGAAGUAUCUGCACUUCCAAAAUCUCAACAAACUGAAGUUGGAGCUGUUGCACUUCCAGACAUAGUAGCAGCUGACUUGUUUAGUAAUGGCACAGAAACAGAGACCAUAAAUGUAUUGGCAGAUGUUGUGCAAAGGUCCCCAGCAAAAUCUGUGGACCAAAAUAACGAAGACCAGAGAGAGGGGGAUGCACUGUGUAUUGGCAAAGUAGAAGCUUGCCUGGAAACUAUUCAGAACUGUUCUAACCAGUCUGUCUCAGAUACUGCACAGAGCACUUCACAGGUUGCUCUAGCUGAUUCAGGGCCUCCUUCUGACAUCAAGACAGUGGCUGUUCUGAAGUCUGAAAACAGUUCAGCAACAAGAAAAGACAAAGAAACUCAUGAAAUUAUGGAAUUUCAGUCAUCCAAAGGCAGUGCAGAAAACAAACAAGACACUGCUGCAUCUGUGUUAGAAGCAGGUUGCAUGCUACCUCCCAGUAAACUGGAUGAAAGUUUUAAAGCAGAAAUACCUUGUCCUGCUUCAAAGGGUAACCAAGUCAGUCAACAAACCAGCACAUCAUACACUUCUGAAAAACUUUCAAUUGGAUGUCUUGCUUCUUCAAGUUUGGCUGGAUUAAAGAGUAAUAUCUCUUCUAACGAUGACAGUAAGGAGCAGGUAAGCAGUACAGCUUCUCACAGAAAAACAGAGAAAGACAGUCGAUCUUCAGAAGAAAAUGUAAAAAGUCCGCUAAAGACUGCGGCUGCUAAACCAGUUAGAUUUACCAUUGCACCAGCAUGGCAGAGAUCUCUCUCAGGGGGUUCAAAUUCAAAGGAAGAUUCCUAUAACAGAAGUUCUCCAACCUCCCCUAUAAAACCAGAGUUGUUUGAAGGAAUGACAAAAGAAUAUGCAGGCAUCCAGGAAUCCACAAAAAACAACCCGGAUGGAUUUGAUCGAGACUGUAAGGAUGGUGAUUUGCAUUUGAAUUAUUCUAUGGAAUGGGCUGACCGUGAAGCACAAAAUUUUGAAAAUCCGUUUGGGGUCAAACUGAGGAGAACAUCUUCUUUACUCAAAUACCAGAAUGAAAACCGUGCUGAGUCUCCAAAGCUGAUUCCCUCAGCUGCUCCCACUGCUUCUUCUGCUUCAGCCAAGGAGGAUCAGAAGUCAGGGGGCAAUGGGAAGCCACCUCCAGGCCUUCCAGUCAGCACAAAAUCAUUUGUUAAAAAAACAGAUCUCCUAGAAGACAGAAGUCCUCCCAAAACAAGAUCAGAAGAAGUGUCAAAGAAGCAAAAUGGUAGUAAACCUUCAGAAAAAGUCUCCUCUCCACAUUUGGAAACUUAUUCCUCUGAACCGGCUUGGGUCUCCAUGGCAAAACUAAAACAAAAGGGUUUCCAGGGCCACCCACUUGCCAAAGAACAUAAAGCUGAAGACAAAGCGUCAACCAAAGUGGAUCAAGAGGAGCAAGUGAUCUGUGCAAGUGAGAACAUACUGAAGAAGAAUAUGUCUUCUAGCUUGAGCUCUCAGGAUAAGAAACCACAAAUGAAGACCAGUAUUUCUGCUGCAGCAGCACACUGAAGUAGAUCGUUACUGGUUCAGAAGAAAUUCAUUUAUGGGAAACGAUUCAUCUACCACAUGAAAACUGGUGUUGAGAAGCAUCUGGACUCCCCAGCCUGGAGUGUAUGAGGAGAAAGGAAUCAAGCCUCUAACCAAGAAAGAGAUUCAGCAGCAACCUCAAGAGCAAAGAAGACUGUGAACUAAUAUACAUUGCUGAAAGCAGGCAAGGGCUACUACUGGGACUUGGCCAAUCAGCAGGGUUGCCCAGUGCAUGAUACAUGAAAAUACUAACCUGUUACCAAAGACAACACUGGAAAAGUCCGUGAUGAAAUCUUCUGGUAUCCUUAAAGAAAGAGCAAUAGAGAACAGUUAAGUGUUUUGUAACCACAAAUAAAUGGGCUUAGCUACAAAAUAACUAUUGCAGAACACAAAUACAGUGUCAACAUUUUCCAUCUUCCAUUGCUUAAAAUUGCCAUCAGUUCUUACGUAAGAACUUCAGUAUUGAUUCAGUCUAGGCUCUUGGAAUAACAGCCACCGUUUUUACAAGAACCCUAAAAGCUGUACUACAUCCUCCUGUCCUACAAAAAAUUGUAACAGUGAGUUUCAAAAGAACCCCAUAUUUGCCUAACUUCUCUCAUUAAAUAGAAGUUUUGCUGAUCACUCUGACAAGUGCAGAAGUCAGACCAUCAAUGAGUGCUUUCAAAAAUCGCAAACCUAUACGUUUACGUUUUACUUUCACCUUGAAGUGUAAUGGAAACAAGAUAGAGUGACUUGCUCCCUCAAAAGUAAAAAUAGAGGUCCUUGUAGCUAAGAGUACUUACAAAAGGAGUGUACUUAACAUGAGGAAGACAAGCAUAAAUUUAUUGGGACUAUGAGAACAAGUUGAAUACAAUAAUUCACACUCCAUCUGCCUUUUGCCUCUCCACCACUUCACCAUUCCCCCAAUGCUGCUGCUGCUUUACAAACAAGCUGCUGUUGAUUUUCAGUUCAAUGUAUCAGGCCAUGAACUGCAAAGACUGCAGAGCAAACACUAUCCAUUCAGCUGCCUUUGCCACAGGGACAGUAACCUCCUACAGCGAGGCAAGUUGAACAAGUGGAAGAAGUAACCGCUUCAGCUGCCACGCUUAAAUCCAGCAUUCAACAUGAAUCAGUGCCCUGAGACAUUACUCACCAAUCCCUUGAGAUACACAGCAGUCUAUCAAAGACAAAGCAAACAAAGAAGUUACCUGUCCUAAAGGGCUUAUAGUGUCUGACGAUGGGAAAAAAAUCAACUCAUCAACUCACACAGUGGGAAAAUGAAAUGGCAGUUAUUAGAGUUUGAAUCCUUAAAGGAAGAAGUGGGGUUGAAACAUGUUUUAAAAUGGUACUUAGAUAAAACUGCAUAUAGUAGUAUUAGUAAGCUAGUUAUCUGAGGCAAGCUGGAAAUUGAGGAGGAGGGACUAGACAGUGAUUUUCAGCUGCACGUGUCUUUCAGAACAGAAGAGAGAAGGCAACUUCUGCAAACAUUACCUACGCUAUCUGUGCAAACACAUCAUUAAUCCAUGCUGAUAAUGACCAAAUAGCCUCUCUACAUAGUGGAAUGGCUGGAGAAAGGGGUUGUAAUAUGAUUAUUAUGAUAACUAUCACAACACUUACUUGAACGUAAGAGCACAUGUUACUAAAAUAGAAGCAUUACUGCUACCUUGGAGCCUGCAUUAUUUUUGUUAUGCAGUUAGUGAUUUUGCUGCAAAUUCUGUUCCUAGCUCAAGCAGCUUACACUAGACCAGUCACAUACUAAGCAGAUCAGACAUAGAACAUGGCGCAGCUCAGGCCUGAGCUACAGGCGGUAAUCAGUUCUCAAAGGAAUAUUCUGAGGAUGGGACUCAAAGGGCAAGGAAGAAGGAGGAAGGAUGUCUCAAUCCCAUGUUAUUGGCCCAAGCCAUAAACUCAUCAAACAUACAGAGAAGGGAAGGAGAAAACUAGCACUCACAAUUUAGUGUGAUUUUUAUUCUUACUGACUGAGCCAGCCAGUCAAGCCAAAAUAAUAUGGGAUAUGGGAUGACAACCCUGUGAAACCAGUAGCACCGAUCUAAUUAAUCACAAGUGUCUCCCAGCCUCUGUCUCUGACAAAACUAGAAGCCAAGACCAGCUGCAUCACCAGGAAAUUGAGAAUUACAAGACUUUAUGUGGAUGGUAACUAGGCCAAUCUUCAGCUUCACUGAAAGGAACAGAAUAGAAUGCAUGAGAAGUUGAAACAGGUAACCUGGCUCAGAUCUCAAUCCUCUAAAAAGAAGAUAUGACCAAAGGAAAAAAAAAAGGAAAUGAGCAAAAUUUCUGGCUUAAAAUCCAAAAUACUUGCCCAAACACUGGGUGCCAAUAAUGCCAUGACAUUGCUGUUCAACUACUUACACGUGUUCUUUGUGCACAUGAUCACAGGAUGACCCACAGGAGUCAAUGCAAAAGGAUAAAUGUCUGAAUGUAAUUAGUAGGUGCCUUAAAUCACGCAGGUAUUUCACCACCAGACCCGACUGCAUUGGGAAACAUAGGAAAUGACAUUUCCCAUGGGAAUCAAAGGUGCUAACAAAUUUACUGAGUACCCUAACUUGGGAGUAGAAUGAGCUAUUCUGAAAGUUUAUCCACAAAGCAAGGAAAGCUACUUACUAGAAAAACAGACUGUCAGAGAUGGAAGUUCAGGAAGAAUCCAAAUAACCUCUGAGAAUCAUGGGAGCAUAUGAGCAACUGAUGAGCAGCACAUAAAACAUGUGAGUGCAAGCAACACAAAUGCAGUUACCUGAAUAUUGUUGCUAUGUCAGUCACAUUAACCAGACCAACAAAAUACAAAAGAUUUAGCAAGACAGGAGAGAGAAAAGAUCAUUCAGACCAAAAAGCAUCUUCAUAUGGCCAUGAAUAGUCCAUACAGUAAGAAAAGCAAACAAAUACAAAAGAGUAAGGCACUAAAGUGCGGUCAGCUGACAAGGACAGAGGCCUGGGAGCCUGUAUUUCUGGACACAGUGUACACAGCCAGCCCAGCCAGUGACUUCUGACACUCCUGUAUACCUACUUUCUCUACUGUUCAGUAGAAGAAUAUUCACCCACCCCCACAGAACUCGGCACAGAGAUUUUAGAGUUCAUCAUUAUUCCUUAAUCACACUGAAUGCAUUCUGUGUGCACCUCAAAAUACACCAACUCCCACUGGGUCAAAAGAAAGUCAUCAGUUUCUUACUGACCUACUUUAACCUGGGUGUGAACUCCGUGACGUGCCAGAGGAAGCAGCUUGCAUUUCAGCUCACAAGACAAAAGAAAGGGCAGACUCUAGCACUGAGCUGCAGACAAAAUUAUAUCAACAAGCAAGGCACCUUUCACCAUGGCCUCAAUUACACCUCUCACCAAUUAGACACUGAUUAUAUCCAUCAAAUUUUUACAACCUUAAGUUGCUCGUAAAGCAACUUAUGCUUACAAUUCUGCAGAACAGAGUCUGAGGAGGAAGCUGAUUUGCAGGAUAAUGGACAAAUAUGGAGAAAAGAAAGAAUUAGAAACAUAGCUGUAUCUCCUAGGUAGUAAUCAGAAUGCAAAGAAUUGUAGGAAGUUAACAUUUUAAAACAUUUGGGCCUUGGUGCAUGAGUUUCUCUAUAGAUGAAAACAUAAACUGCUGUUAUUCUCUUGUUACCACUGGAUAUGGAAAUCAGGGAAAACCCUAUAAAGAUUAUUAGUAUGUGAUGUCUGGCUUUUAGGAUAUGUACUUCUAUUCGGAGAUACUCUGAACAGACUCUGUAGUCAAUGUAACAAACGUUAUGCUUUGAAGGGUAAUUGGAAGGAGAGAUCAUAGCUGAACAAGGUGGUAGGAUUUCAUGCGUGUUAUAUCAUUGGCCUUUCAAAGAAGAAAAAAAAAGUAGGGCAGUUUCUUAGCUUCUGAAAUGUUAUCGCUGUCUUACCAAACACGUUAAAACAUAUUGCAGGGCAAGGUGGGGAUGACAAAGAGAAGGUCACUCACAUUUGCAUAACCUACAUUACAGGCUAAAUUAGACCAAUCUCCCCAGCAUGUGAAAUUUACUGCUCAUGCUCAGUGCUAAAUCAAGUCUUACACAACACCUGUUUUUUUCCUUUGGCUUCAUGUGACAUUUGGCGACAGAUGUAUUGUGUGUUAUUUACAGGUAAUUUCUAUACCAAGUUUGUUGUGUAAAAAAGUUGAUUUAGGGUAGCAGUUACAUAAAAGUUGUGGAAAAAAAAAAAAAAAAAAAAAACAGAUGGAAAAAA